UUUUAAUUCCUCUCUUUGAAUUAACAUCAUAUGCUGCACCCCUUUUAUUAAUUUAUUAAUUGUUGUUCUUGUUGGGGGAAAAAGGUUCAUGCUUUGAUGGUGGACAAUGUCUAGGGUGUGAAAGUGAAACUACUUUCACACCCUACGAAAGUUUGGACAAUUAAAAAAAUAAGCAAUUUGAACCGUCCGAUUAGUUAAUAAGAAAUCCAACGAUCUCAAUGUGUUAGUGGCUACCAGUAGUAAAUGGAUGCCUCGAGUUGUGUGUCUGCUUUCCCCGAGUCGCGAUUGAAGCUAUGGAGCCCUGGAGUUCUGUUGUGCUUUUUCCAGCAUACAGUACCAUAGCUCGCGAUUUAGCGAUUGCUGCGAUUGAAGUUGAGGAGCCGUGGAGUUGUGUGUGAGGUUUCCCUGUUUCGCCAUUGAAGGUUAGCCCAACAUACCCUGACAGAGGUUGGGAUUGAAGCAGAGGUUGUUUCCCUUCAGUACGAUUGAGUAAAGCAGUAGAGCAUUGUCUUUGUCGUGGUAAAACGAUCAAAGCACAGCGUUGAGUAGGAUUCGAACGGAGGAUGAAAGAAAGGCCAGGUUGGUGGAGGUUCAGGGGCAGAUCCGCAACGAACGUUCAGCCCUUCGUCCUACGACAUCAAUAAGCUGGAGAAAAGUAUGGCUUAGGCGAUUAUAGUUUUCAUUUUGCAUGUUAGUUUUUGUUUGUUUCGGACUUGGUUUGCGACGGUAUUGUCGCAGACCUCGGUCGAUUUUUGUUGUUACGGUUUUAGUUUGGUUGAGUUGUCCCUUAAAUUGAAGUGGUUGUUAUUAUGGUUUUUUGAAUGAUGUUCGUUUUGCAAAUUGUGUUGCCUGAAUGUUGUAAUAUGUUGUGUGUUGUCUUGUUGUUAAGUGUUGUAGUUUUGAACAUGCAUUGUUUUUGUGUGACCAGUUGUAUUGCAGUAUAUGUGGUAGUUUGCAAGGUCCGGAUUGUCGUAAGUAUAUGACACCUUGAAAGAGUAAAUUAGGUAUUUGCUGAAAGUAGAAUUAUGUUUAGAAUGACAUCCAAAGAAGAAGGCUGAAGUGGUCAAGUAUAAGUGUACAUCCAUAAGAAAAAUGAAAUAUUAAAUUGACUGUGACAAAGUUGACCCUUCGUUGGUUGUCUAAUAACAAAGUUGACCCUUUGAAGGAAAUGAAGAAACAAAAAUAACAUUUCUUUGAUAUUAUGUUUUGGUAGAAGAUGUGUAAGGUUUGAUGAUGUUAUUUUUUGAGUUUUACAUGCCUAAACAUGAUGUGGAAAAUAUUAAAGAUAAAGAUCAUAACAGAGGAUCUGUGUGAUUAUAGCCAUAGAAUAAGAAAAUACAUGUUUCGUUACUGUGGCAUUUGUGUGCCAGGUUCGUAGUCCAGUCAAUGUGAUGUUAAGUGCAUUAUGUAGUGUAGUUGAACAAAGACGUGUUAAUGAUAGAGAAAUUACGGUGUUUGAAAUGCAUGAAGUAGGUGAUGUAUGUAUUUGAUAUAUUUUAAAAUGUGUUCGGGUGUAGGAUUUGGAUGAUAUAAUGUCAGAGUUGGAAAGUAGUCAAAAUUUUUCUAGCUUCGUGAAUGGUGAUGGUGACAAUGAUGUUACUGAAGUGUAUGAAAAUGAUGAAGACAACCAACAUGACGUCGGACUAGAAGAUGAGGAGGAGGUGGAUUCGAAGGUACAGAAUGACGAUGAUGGAGGUUAAGAUGAUUUUUGGAUUCCAGGUUUGUUGAAAGAGGAAUGUAUAAGUAUUGAUAGUAUGGUAGAUAUUAGACAAUUUGACAUGGAACAAAUUAGCGAUGAUGUUGUCCCCAGGUUGAAUUUUGGUGAUUUGGAGUUAGCGUAUGAGUUCUAUUGUUGGUAUGCUAAAAUUAGUGGUUUUUCUGUAAGGAAGAGUCAUAUUGUUAGAAACACAUGUAUGGAAACACUGCAACAAACAUUUGUUUGUUCAUAUGCUGGUUAUAGGAGAGUUUCAACAUCAGAUAGAAGGAUACAACGAGAAAAAAAAGAAAGCAGGUGUGGUUGUGAAGCAAUGUUUCGUGUUCAUGUGCAUUUUCGUACGGGACGAUGAUAUGUGACAUGUUGGAAUUUUGACCACAAUCAUUUAUUAUUGGACCUAGAAUUGUCAUGCUUGUUGCCAGGACAUAGGAAGAUGUCCGCAUCUGAUAUUAUGCAAGUUGAAAACUAUAGAAAAGUUGGCAUUAGACCUCCGCACAUGUAUGCAACAUUUACCAAUCAAUGUGGUGGAUACGACAAGGUCGGGUUUAUCAGGAAAAAUAUGUACAAUGAAGUAGGGCGCAUGAGGAAGCAACAUACUUCAGAUGCAAGGGGUGCAUUGAAAUAUUUAUAUGAUUUACGCAAGAAAGAUCCAAUGAUGUAUGUUUCCUACACCGUGGAUGGAGGGUCAAAGACUACAACGGUUGUUUUGGUGUGAUACUGAGAGCCAAUUGCUUUAUGAGGUAUUUGGUGACGUUCUGGCAUUUGAUGCCACUUAUAAGAAAAAUAAGUAUUUGUGCCCUUUUGUUGUUUUCUCUGGUGUGAACCACCAUAAUCAGACAAUAGUUUUUGCUCCUGCUAUUGUCACUGAUGAGACGGAAGAAACAUAUGUUUGGUUGUUAGAACAAUUGUUGGUAGCAAUUAAAGGAAAAGAUCCCUGUUCAAUAAUAGCUGAUGGUGAUUUGGCUAUGAGAAAUGCUAUAAGAAGAGUCAUGCCAGGUGUUUUUCACAGAUUGUGUGCAUGGCACUUAUUGCGUAAUGCAUUGAGCCAUGUUCGAGAUAAACAAGUUUUGAAAUGGUUGAAGAACCUAAUGCUUGGUGAUUUUGAAGUGGUCGAAUUCGAAGAAAAGUGGAAUAAGAUGGUUGCUACGUUUGAAUUGGAAGACAAUACUUGGAUUGCUGAACUGUAUGAAAAAAGGAUGAAGUGGUCUCCCGCCCAUUUGAGGGGUUAUUUUUUUGCGGGCAUACGGAUAACAUCUCAUUGUGAAGCCUUCCAUGCACAUGUUGCAAAAUAUGUUCAUUCAUGCACUAAUUUAACCGAUUUUGUAGAACAAUUUCAAAGGUGCCUGCCAUAUUUUCGAUAUAGAGUGGUUGUGGCAGAUUAUUCGUCAACAUACGGGAAUGAAGUUUUGCAAACAAAUCUUCGAUCUCUUGAGCAGUCUGGUGAUGAUUUGCUUACUAAGGAGAUGUUUAAACUUUUUUAGUCGUAUCUAUCUAGGACUAUUAAGCUAAGAGUCAUUAAUUGUAAAGAGAUGGUGACGUUUUCAGUUUAUUGGGUUGUGAAGUACUGUAGUGGAAGUGUUUGGCGUGUGUCGUAUUGCCCAUCGAUGGUUGACUUUACAUGUAGUUGUAUGAGAAUGCAUUCCAUUGGUCUUCCUUGCGAUCACAUAUUGGCUGUGUUGGUUUCUUUAAAUUUUAUGGAGUUGCCAAGUAGUUUGGUUUUGAAUAGGUGGUCCAAAGUUGCGACAGAAAAUAUCAAAGACAAAUAUCCCGAUUCGGCAAUCUAUUGGGAUUCCCAAUUGAUGGCCAGGUAUGCCACUUUGGUUGAAGUUUCUAGACAAUUUUGCGUAGCUGCAUACCGUGAUGAAGAGGAGUAUGACAAAAUGUUGCAUUUCCUAUCCAAUGAGGCUAGAAGGCUUAAGUCGAAGUGAAACAGCGAACAUUGUGUUGAUGAUAAUGAUGAGCAACAACAACAUGGUGAUGAUUUUGAUGGUAUUUUAGACCCUGUUGUGGUUCGAAGUAAAGGAUGCGGACAGGUCAGAAUGGAUGACUCUAGCAGACAAAGGAGAAUCCAAAAGUGUGGGCAAUGUGGUUUAAUUGGCCACAAUAAGCGUUCUUGCACCAACCAUACUCGAAAUGGAAAUGCUUCUUUUGGUGCUUCAUCCAGUGAACAAACUAACAGUAUGUUGCAACCUACACAUGAAAAUAACAAUGAAGUGGUAAUGAAGCAGUUGUUUGGCACAAUUUGUUUUUCAAUUUUUAUGUUAUGCAGUUAAUGAUUAGAAUUUGUUUUUUUUGUUAAUGUUGGAGUUCAUGCAGCAGCCGCAAACAUUUGUUGCUGGUAGUAGCCGUCUCGGUCCCUAAUUAUAUUUAUGUUGUGUUGCAGAAGUUGAUCGGAUUAUCGACUUGAAAGUAACUUGUGCAAGCAUUAACCAAUUAUAUUGAAUGUUGAUACCGCAUGACGUUGUAUGUCAUCCAUUUUUUUACUGAAAGAGCCGGUUAUAGUUGGUGGUUCGUUUUUAUUUUUGUGAAAGUUGGUGAACGAAGUGUGGAUUAUAAUUUGAUUUAUUAAAUAAGCGUCAUCAUUGAUCCACUUGGUAACCAAA